CGCUCAGCCGCGCAGAUAACCGCCGGCUGCCUGCUCCACCCCCGGCCCGCGCCCACUCCGCCCACUCCCGAGCGCCCAGGUGACAAUCCUACAGAGGGCUUUCCCACAUUCCUUGGAUUCCCGGCUUCUUCCUAAGGUGCACACUGCUAUUUGCAACCACUUGGACCGCAGAUUUCCCCACAGGUUUCUCCACCCAAACAAGCUGUGGGCCUUGGCUGCUCCAGUGGCUGCCUCUCAGUGCACACCCUCCCAUGUUUAAUGAGAAGCAACAGAAAAGAAGAAGAAGCUCCAUCAAGUUCCUACAGUGACUCCCCGUGCUGUGCUCUAAGAGACUCUGAAAUGCUCUCACAUUUACGCCCUGCCUGGGGAACCAAGACUCA